rnacentral:rRNA from 1 species
GUGAGUAACACGUGGGCAAUCUGCCCUGCACUCUGGGACAAGCCCUGGAAACGGGGUCUAAUACCGGAUACGACUUUCGGAGGCAUCUCUGAAGGUGGAAAGCUCCGGCGGUGCAGGAUGAGCCCGCGGCCUAUCAGCUUGUUGGUGGGGUGAUGGCCUACCAAGGCGACGACGGGUAGCCGGCCUGAGAGGGCGACCGGCCACACUGGGACUGAGACACGGCCCAGACUCCUACGGGAGGCAGCAGUGGGGAAUAUUGCACAAUGGGCGAAAGCCUGAUGCAGCGACGCCGCGUGAGGGAUGACGGCCUUCGGGUUGUAAACCUCUUUCAGCAGGGAAGAAGCGAAAGUGACGGUACCUGCAGAAGAAGCGCCGGCUAACUACGUGCCAGCAGCCGCGGUAAUACGUAGGGCGCAAGCGUUGUCCGGAAUUAUUGGGCGUAAAGAGCUCGUAGGCGGCUUGUCGCGUCGGAUGUGAAAGCCCGGGGCUUAACCCCGGGUCUGCAUUCGAUACGGGCAGGCUAGAGUUCGGUAGGGGAGAUCGGAAUUCCUGGUGUAGCGGUGAAAUGCGCAGAUAUCAGGAGGAACACCGGUGGCGAAGGCGGAUCUCUGGGCCGAUACUGACGCUGAGGAGCGAAAGCGUGGGGAGCGAACAGGAUUAGAUACCCUGGUAGUCCACGCCGUAAACGUUGGGAACUAGGUGUGGGCGACAUUCCACGUCGUCCGUGCCGCAGCUAACGCAUUAAGUUCCCCGCCUGGGGGAGUACGGCCGCAAGGCUAAAACUCAAAGGAAUUUGACGGGGGCCCGCACAAGCGGCGGAGCAUGUGGCUUAAUUCGACGCAACGCGAAGAACCUUACCAAGGCUUGACAUAUACCGGAAAGCAUUUAGAGAUAGUGCCCCCCUUGUGGUCGGUAUACAGGUGGUGCAUGGCUGUCGUCAGCUCGUGUCGUGGAAAUGUUUGGGUUAAGUCCCGCAACGAGCGCAACCUUUGUCCUGUGUUGCAGAUGCCCUUUCGGGGGGGAUGGGGGACUCACAAGAAACCCGCCGGGGUCACUUCGAAGGAGAGGGGGGGGGACAACAUCAAAUCAUCCUGGCCCCUUAUGUCUUGGGGUGCCACACUGCUACAAUGGGCGGUACAAAAGCUGCCAUACCCGUGGGGUGGGAGCGAAUCUCAAAAACCGGUCCCCCUCCCGAGUGGGGGGUGCGCACCCCACCCCCUCGAAGGGGAGGGCGCUUGUAAUCCAAACAACAAUUUGUCGGGGGAGAGAAUUUCCCGGGCUUGGUCAACCCCCCCCUCCCCCUC